UUUCCAGACUCCUACGGGAGGCAGCAGUGGGGGAUAUUGCACAAUGGGGGGAACCCUGAUGCAGCGACGCCGCGUGGGUGAAGGAGCGUUUCGGCGCGUAAAGCCCUAUCGGCAGGGAAGAAGGAGGACGGUACCUGACUAAGAAGCCCCGGCUAACUACGUGCCAGCAGCCGCGGUAAUACGUAGGGGGCAAGCGUUAUCCGGAUUUACUGGGUGUAAAGGGAGCGUAGACGGCGAAGAAAGUCUGAAGUGAAAGCCCGCGGCUCAACCGCGGAAUGGCUUUGGAAACUUUUUUGCUGGAGUACCGGAGAGGUAAGCGGAAUUCCUAGUGUAGCGGUGAAAUGCGUAGAUAUUAGGAGGAACACCAGUGGCGAAGGCGGCUUACUGGACGGUAACUGACGUUGAGGCUCGAAAGCGUGGGGAGCAAACAGGAUUAGAUACCCCCGUA
rnacentral:rRNA from 1 species